GUCAGGAUGGCCGAGUGGUCUAAGGCGCUCGACACAACCUCUCGUGAGGGGCAUGGGUUCAUAUCUCCCUUCUGACA